rnacentral:rRNA from 1 species
CCUACGGGCGGCAGCAGUGGGGAAUAUUGGACAAUGGGGGCAACCCUGAUCCAGCCAUGCCGCGUGUGUGUAGAAGGCCCUCGGGUUGUAAAGCACUUUCAGUGAGGAAGAACGCCUGGUGGUUAAUACCCAUCAGGAAAGACAUCACUCACAGAAGAAGCACCGGCUAACUCCGUGCCAGCAGCCGCGGUAAUACGGAGGGUGCGAGCGUUAAUCGGAAUUACUGGGCGUAAAGCGCGCAUAGGUGGCUUGAUAAGCCGGUUGUGAAAGCCCCGGGCUCAACCUGGGAACGGCAUCCGGAACUGUCAAGCUAGAGUGCAGGAGAGGAAGGUAGAAUUCCCGGUGUAGCGGUGAAAUGCGUAGAGAUCGGGAGGAAUACCAGUGGCGAAGGCGGCCUUCUGGACUGACACUGACACUGAGGUGCGAAAGCGUGGGUAGCAAACAGGAUUAGAUACCCCUGUAGUC